AGCGGCUGGAAGGGUAUUAUCCUUAGGUCGCAGGGCCCGGCCGGGCGGGAGCGACCCGCGGCCUGGGGCUCGAUCCCGCCUCUGCCCUCGGCCCUGCCGACGGGAUACUACCGGACCACCCCAGCACAGCCGGAUGCCUCACCCGCCGCGUCUCUCGGUCCGCGCAGACACCGCCCACCGCCGGCAGCGCCCGCCGCCGCCACAGCCCGUGAUGGCCGCCGCCGGCUGCCGCGGGGUAGCCCGCGGCUGCGCGCAGGGGCUUCUGGGGGCCGCCCCACCUGCGCCGCGGGGCUCACCUGCCCGCCGUGUACCGCGGGAAGCUCUGGACUACGCAACCCGCGGUUCCGGCUCUGCCGCUUCGGCCGCGUAGCCUUGCUCCCUUCGCCGAGAACCGGGCGCCUCCUCCGCGAAAGCUGAAAGCUCGGCAGCCGCCAGUCUCGUGCGCGCUGACUCUCUGGGGCGCUUCAGGUCCCCUGAGGUGCCCGGCGCAGGCCGCCACCCGCCCCCGCGCACACAGACCCAGCCCCGCCAGCAGCCUCAAAGGACCGCUUAGCGCUCUCUGCUCGCGCACCUCGCCCCUCCCCCCACCUUAAGCCCGGUACCGCGUCCAGUCCCGCCGGCCAAGGUUGGUAAGACCCGCUGAUUAGCAAGCGCGAGGCUGGACGCUGGGGAUCACCUGGUGGCAAAACCAGACCCUGUCUUCUCUGAAGCCACCAGGCAGGUAAAUCUGAUUAAGGCAUUCGUUCCUUGGAAUCUGUUUAUGGCUCUGGCUACUUCCAUAAGGAUCCAAACUUCACGGGGGCAUGAGGCCGCCUGUAGAUUCUCGAAUGAUGCAAGCUCUUUCUUUCCGCCCCGCGGGCCUCUGCGGAGGCUCUUCCCGCCGCCGAGCACCCCUCCCUGCCUUUUCCUUUAGCUAUCCUCCACUUUAUUGUGGCGCUUGCUCUUCAGAUGUAUCUUAGGGGAAACUAUCUUGGCCCUGAAGACUUGCAGCACUUGGAAUCCUCCUUAGUCCCUGCCAGGAGAGACCCAAAGCCCUGCAGGGCCAGCACAUGGAGCAAGGCCUGGGGGAUUCAGCAAAUUCAUGUUAACAGAGUCUGUUACUAGAAGAGUGUUGAUUGUGUUUGAAGAAAAAUGUGGGCCCGUCCUUAGAGGCCUGGGAAGCUGGUCUGCCUGGGGGCUGCAGAACACAUUCAGGAGGUCCAGUCGAGUCUGCACCGCGGAUAGGCAUUGCAGUCUGAGUCCUCAGCUGGCUUGUUCCCGUUUUCUCUUUGGGCAUUAAGGAACAUACCAGUUUGGGCUACAUUUUCCACCAACUUAUUCCCAGGAGGCCCAGGACAGUAGAGGUAGCAACAGUUACUUGUUACCAGACAGGAUUGUUAUGGAAAGAAAGUCUAAAGAAAACACUGUGAAAGGUAUUGAACUUGAGUAUAAAAUGUAUUCAUUCAAGCUGA